rnacentral:rRNA from 1 species
AAAUUGAAGAGUUUGAUCAUGGCUCAGAUUGAACGCUGGCGGCAGGCCUAACACAUGCAAGUCGAACGGUAACAGGAAUCAGCUUGCUGAUUCGCUGACGAGUGGCGGACGGGUGAGUAAUGUCUGGGAAACUGCCCGAUGGAGGGGGAUAACUACUGGAAACGGUAGCUAAUACCGCAUAACGUCGCAAGACCAAAGAGGGGGACCUUCGGGCCUCUUGCCAUCGGAUGUGCCCAGAUGGGAUUAGCUAGUAGGUGGGGUAACGGCUCACCUAGGCGACGAUCCCUAGCUGGUCUGAGAGGAUGACCAGCCACACUGGAACUGAGACACGGUCCAGACUCCUACGGGAGGCAGCAGUGGGGAAUAUUGCACAAUGGGCGCAAGCCUGAUGCAGCCAUGCCGCGUGUAUGAAGAAGGCCUUCGGGUUGUAAAGUACUUUCAGCGGGGAGGAAGGGAGUAAAGUUAAUACCUUUGCUCAUUGACGUUACCCGCAGAAGAAGCACCGGCUAACUCCGUGCCAGCAGCCGCGGUAAUACGGAGGGUGCAAGCGUUAAUCGGAAUUACUGGGCGUAAAGCGCACGCAGGCGGUUUGUUAAGUCAGAUGUGAAAUCCCCGGGCUCAACCUGGGAACUGCAUCUGAUACUGGCAAGCUUGAGUCUCGUAGAGGGGGGUAGAAUUCCAGGUGUAGCGGUGAAAUGCGUAGAGAUCUGGAGGAAUACCGGUGGCGAAGGCGGCCCCCUGGACGAAGACUGACGCUCAGGUGCGAAAGCGUGGGGAGCAAACAGGAUUAGAUACCCUGGUAGUCCACGCCGUAAACGAUGUCGACUUGGAGGUUGUGCCCUUGAGGCGUGGCUUCCGGAGCUAACGCGUUAAGUCGACCGCCUGGGGAGUACGGCCGCAAGGUUAAAACUCAAAUGAAUUGACGGGGGCCCGCACAAGCGGUGGAGCAUGUGGUUUAAUUCGAUGCAACGCGAAGAACCUUACCUGGUCUUGACAUCCACAGAACUUUCCAGAGAUGGAUUGGUGCCUUCGGGAACUGUGAGACAGGUGCUGCAUGGCUGUCGUCAGCUCGUGUUGUGAAAUGUUGGGUUAAGUCCCGCAACGAGCGCAACCCUUAUCCUUUGUUGCCAGCGGUCCGGCCGGGAACUCAAAGGAGACUGCCAGUGAUAAACUGGAGGAAGGUGGGGAUGACGUCAAGUCAUCAUGGCCCUUACGACCAGGGCUACACACGUGCUACAAUGGCGCAUACAAAGAGAAGCGACCUCGCGAGAGCAAGCGGACCUCAUAAAGUGCGUCGUAGUCCGGAUUGGAGUCUGCAACUCGACUCCAUGAAGUCGGAAUCGCUAGUAAUCGUGGAUCAGAAUGCCACGGUGAAUACGUUCCCGGGCCUUGUACACACCGCCCGUCACACCAUGGGAGUGGGUUGCAAAAGAAGUAGGUAGCUUAACCUUCGGGAGGGCGCUUACCACUUUGUGAUUCAUGACUGGGGUGAAGUCGUAACAAGGUAACCGUAGGGGAACCUGCGGUUGGAUCACCUCCUUACCUUAAAGAA